GGGCGAUUGGCUCAGGGGUAGAGCACUUCCUUCACACGGAAGGGGUCGUGGGUUCAAAUCCCGCAUCGCCCA
rfam:Atopobium vaginae PB189-T1-4 contig00005, whole genome shotgun sequence.